rnacentral:misc_RNA from 1 species
CUUAUAAAAACUUGGUGAUAGCUCUAACAGUUGGAAAAAAGGCUUUGAAGGUGGAGGAGGUUACUGCAGUUAUCUUGUAUGAUGAGAAGUUCAAGAAGACAAGUAGCAACAAUGAAGAUGGAGCUUUUGUUGCUAGUUCUAGUCAUGGUAGAAGCAAUCCACGUGGAAACAAUUGGAAAAAGAAUAGUAGACCAAGCUCGAAACCACAAGUAGAUCGAGCUCAAAACCACAAUUAGGCCUUGAAGAUAGAGAAUGCUACUACUG